UACGGGGGGGGCAAGCGUUGUUCGGAAUUACUGGGCGUAAAGGGCGCGUAGGCGGCGCGAUAAGUUGGGCGUGAAAGGCCCGGGCUCAACCCGGGGACUGCGCUUGAUACUGUCGCGCUGUGAGUCCGGGAGAGGAUGGCGGAAUUCCCAGUGUAGAGGUGAAAUUCGUAGAUAUUGGGAAGAACACCGGUGGCGAAGGCGGCAUCCUGGACCGGUAUUGACACUGAAAAGCGAAAGCCAGGGGAGCAAACGGG
rnacentral:rRNA from 1 species